rnacentral:rRNA from 1 species
UACGGGGGGGAGCAAGCGUUGUUCGGAUUUACUGGGCGUAAAGGGCGCGUAGGCGGCGUGACAAGUCACUUGUGAAAUCUCCGGGCUUAACCCGGAGCGGCCAAGUGAUACUGUCGUGCUAGAGUGCGGAAGGGGCUACUGGAAUUCUCGGUGUAGCGGUGAAAUGCGUAGAUAUCUGGAGGAAUACCGGUGGCGAAGGCGGCAUCCUGGACCGGCAUUGACGCUGAGGAGCGAAAGCCAGGGGAGCAAACGGG